UGGGGAAUAUUGGACAAUGGGCGAAAGCCUGAUCCAGCCAUGCCGCGUGUGUGAAGAAGGUCUUCGGAUUGUAAAGCACUUUAAGUUGGGAGGAAGGGCAGUAAGUUAAUACCUUGCUGUUUUGACGUUACCGACAGAAUAAGCACCGGCUAACUCUGUGCCAGCAGCCGCGGUAAUACAGAGGGUGCAAGCGUUAAUCGGAAUUACUGGGCGUAAAGCGCGCGUAGGUGGUUUGUUAAGUUGGAGGUGAAAGCCCCGGGCUCAACCUGGGAACUGCAUCCAAAACUGGCAAGCUAGAGUACGGUAGAGGGUGGUGGAAUUUCCUGUGUAGCGGUGAAAUGCGUAGAUAUAGGAAGGAACACCAGUGGCGAAGGCGACCACCUGGACUGAUACUGACACUGAGGUGCGAAAGCGUGGGGAGCAAACA
rnacentral:rRNA from 1 species